CCUACGGGUGGCAGCAGUGAGGAAUCUUGGUCAAUGGGCGCGAGCCUGAACCAGCCAAGUCGCGUGAGGGAUGACGGUUCUACGGACUGUAAACCUCUUUUGCCGGGGAGCAAGCGUGCGUUCGUGAACGCGCGUCGAGAGUACCCGGAGAAAAAGCAUCGGCUAACUCCGUGCCAGCAGCCGCGGUAAUACGGAGGUUGCGAGCGUUAUCCGGAUUUAUUGGGUUUAAGGGGUGCGUAGGCGGGAUGCCAAGUCAGCGGUAAACAUGCGGUGCUCAACGCCGUCGAGCCGUUGAAACUGGCGUUCUUGAGGGGGCGAGAGGUAUGCGGAAUGCGUGGUGUAGCGGUGAAAUGCAUAGAUAUCACGCGGAACGCCGAUUGCGAAGGCGGCAUACCGGCGCCCUACUGACGCUGAGGCACGAAAGCGUAGGGAGCAAACGGGAUUAGAUACCCUAGUAGUC
rnacentral:rRNA from 1 species